CCUACGGGGGACAGCAGUAGGGAAUCUUCCACAAUGGGCGAAAGCCUGAUGGAGCAACGCCGCGUGGGUGAAGAAGGUCUUCUGAUCGUAAAACCCUGUUGUUAGAGAAGAAAGUGCGUGAGAGUAACUGUUCACGUUUCGACGGUAUCUAACCAGAAAGCCACGGCUAACUACGUGCCAGCAGCCGCGGUAAUACGUAGGUGGCAAGCGUUAUCCGGAUUUAUUGGGCGUAAAGGGAACGCAGGCGGUCUUUUAAGUCUGAUGUGAAAGCCUUCGGCUUAACCGGAGUAGUGCAUUGGAAACUGGGAGACUGGAGUGCAGAAGAGGAGAGUGGAACUCCAUGUGUAGCGGUGAAAUGCGUAGAUAUAUGGAAGAACACCAGUGGCGAAAGCGGCUCUCUGGUCUGUAACUGACGCUGAGGUUCGAAAGCGUGGGUAGCAAACAGGAUUAGAUACCCCAGUAGUC
rnacentral:rRNA from 1 species